rnacentral:lncRNA from 1 species
AGGCCCCGCUCCCCAGGCCUCGGCCGGCGCGGACCCCUGGUUGCCCCGGGGUCGAGAGCAGCCGGGGAGAGCUGAGUUCAGAGCCCAGAGUUGGACAUCAGGCCACACGCUGAGAGGGUAGUAAAUGAAAGGGAGUCCGGUUUAGUCGCGGGCAGGGCAUCUCCUCUUCUGCUUGUCUAAAAGUCGCUGGGUGCAGGGGAAGCAAUACUAAGCGGGAAUUUCUUUUUAGUGGCAUCUACACAAUUUGCCUUUCCUGGUUUUUGUUUUGUUUUGUUUUGUUUCCUAAGGAGGGGGAGGCUCUGUAGAGGAAGCUUCGGCCCUGGGUGCCCCUGGGUUGGGAGCAGUCGGGGAGCGCUGAGCCAGGGCGCACGCCCUGUCGGCGCUGCGGGUGUGGGGCGCAGGAGUCCUUCUGGCCGGCCCCUCCGCCCCCCGGGGAGGCUGGAGCUCUCCAAGGCCGGGGAGCCUCCCGAAGCGCGCUGCCCCCUCUGUUCUCCGCGUGCUUUCACUAGGGCCCCAUGCUGCUUAGUGGCCGAUUUGCAGGGAAUCUGGGCACAAUCUUAAUAACACCAGGGCCAAAAAUAACAACGUUCCUGGGAACCGAGCUGGAGCGCACCCCAUGGACGCUGGGCCAUCUCCCCGGGGACUAGUGCCUGACAGAGCUGACAGAGUUCUAGGCCACAUGUGGGCUAGAAGGAACCGCCAUGUCUACCACAGCACAGUCCUUAAGCAGGAGCCUUUUGAAGCACUUGGACUCAAAACAAUGGCUGUUUGUUGUUGUUGUUGUUGUUGUUUGUUUGUUUUGAGGGAGCCAGAAAGCUAAAAAAUGUAAAAGAAGCAGGUCACAUUAGACAUGAUUUCAGACAGCCUCCCCGAAGGACAGAUGAUCUCACUUGGCAACACAUACUGGGCCAGGCUCACUCAUGAGGGGGCAGCGUGGCAUGCACCCCACUCAGGGGCAAGAAUGAAGCUUAAAUAUUAGCUGACUCAGAACAUAGCAAGUGCUCAGUAAUGGCUUCUGGAACGAACCCGUGGUUGUCACCAGCAGGAGUGACGAAAGCUAGAAGCCGUUUCACCAUCCAAGGAAGAGGAGGAACAAUAUUUUUCUCUUUGGAGUUCCCACACUCAGAAGAGAGAACACCAGCAUAUGAACACAGAGUGUCACAUGAUGUAGGAAACAUCCUGUAGGUAGAGAGUAUAAUUCCAAAGCUUAGGAUCCUGCUAGUUCCUUGUGCAGUGCUUCCGGUGGGCAACAUGGUGCCUCCCCAGUCCCUCAGGCUUGAGGCGGGCCAGCACAGCUUCUCUGGGAGCCAGGUCAUUUCAGAAUUUAACCCCAGAACUAGGUCACCCCAGGCAACACAAGGCUCCUCUCCCUUGGAUACAGGAAGCGGAGGAAAAGGCCAGGCAUGCUCAGGGGCAAACCAACACCCAGGUGAAAGGGAGCUGGGCUGGUUUCGGGGAGCAGCCUGGUUUCAGGGAGCCGGACUCACGAUGUGCUUGAGACCCUCAAAUUCACCCCUGGAAGCAGCUGCCCCCGUGACAAGGAACUAAGGACAGGCAUGUCAUGGACUGUGAAUUGGAGUGACAUUUGUCCCUCCCUUCACCAACAGACUGCCCCAAGAGCUUCCCAAGUUAUCUGCCAUAGAAUACCUUGUUUCCCUCGAGUCUCUGAAAGGGGGCCGCAAAAGCUGUCCCCACGCUGGAAAUGCAGGGCCAGGCUUUUAAAGUUUUGCUCCCGGAUUAUGAGAACACCUAGAAAAUUCAGUGCUCCUCUCCACUCCCCCAAACCCCUUCACAAGCCCCCACCCUUUGUUUAACAAACAUAUAUAUAGUGCUUUCCUGGUACCAGAUACUACUUUAAGCACUUGACAAAAUAUUUAGUCAUACAUAAAACCCUUAUAAUUACACUGUAAUUCACUCUCGUCAGAUCCAGUCAUUGUGAAGAAACGGAGGCACGGGGAGAUUAAGAGAGCUACUUAAGAAGACACGGUGCCAGGUUUCUACCCAAGCCAUUUGGAUCUAGGGUCUGGAGGCCAUGUGAGCCAUUUUGCAUUAGAUUAACGCUUUAAUUCAGUUCACAGUUAGACAAUAUACGUUCCCCAUCUAUAUCUAUACCCAUCUGGAAGGCAACAAAAAGAUAAUAAACUGAUAGUGUCAUGUGCCCAUGACCCAGCUAACAAAGAGGCUCUGGGUUCCAAUGCCCCAGUCUUUCAUGGGAUUCCAUCGACCUCAUGCCCUGCUCCCCUCCCCAACAGAGAUGGAAACAUUAUCCUGAAUUUUGUGUUUAUCAUCCCUUGUUUCUCUCUAUAGUUUUUCCACUUAUGGUUGUAUGAUUUUUGUUUGUUUGUUUUUUGAGACGGCAUCUCGCUCUGUCACCAGGCUGGAGUGCAGUGGCGUGAUCUCGGCUCUACCUCCCAGGUUCAAGCCAUCCUCCUGCCUCAUCCUCCCGAGUAGCUGGGACUACAGGCACACGCCACCAUGCCCAGCUAAUUUUUGUAUUUUUAGUAGAGACGGGGUUUCACCUUAUGGUUGUAUCUUUAAACAAUGUCUUGUUUAGUUUUGCCAUGUUUUUGGACUGUGAAUAAGUAGAAUUAUUAUGCUGUGUGAAUUCUUCUGCUACUUGCAUUUUUGCUGCAACGUCAUGUUCCUGAAAUUCAGCCAGGAUUCAUUUAUUCCUUUUCACUGCUGUGUGAUAUCCCAUUGUAGGCAAAUAGUACACAAUAUUUAUUUAUUUUCCAGAUGGGAUCUCAUUCUGUCACCCAGGCUUGUAGUGCAGUGACCCCAUCACGAUUCACUGCAGCCUUGAACUCCUGGGCUCAAGCAAUCCUCCUGCCUCAGCCUCCUGAGUUGCUAAGGCCACAAAUAUUUAUCCAUUUUACUGCUAAUGCAAUUUGAGCUGUUUUCAACUUUUUCCUAUUAAAACAUUAUUGCUAUGAACAUUCUUAUAAAAGCUUCCCAGUGCACGUGUGUGAGAUCUUUCUAGUGUGUAUGCUAGCAGGAGAAUUACUGAGUUUUACCGUACAUGUAUCUUCAAUCUUAUUAGAUAACACUGACUUGUUUUUGAAAUUGGCUCUUCCAAUUUACACUGUCAACAGCAGGGUUAUGUGGUUGCCCUGCAAGUUCAACAACAUUUGGUAUUGUCAGACUUUAAUAUUUUUGUCAAUCUGGUUGGUAUAAAAUGGUAUGGUGUGGUGCUUUUUAUUUGCAUUUCCAUGAUUACUAAUGAGGUUGAGCAUCUUUUCACAUGUUUAUGGGCCAUUUACUUUUCCUCUUCUAUGAAAUUACUAUUCAAGCCCUUUGCCCAUUUUUCUGUUAUGUUGUUUGUCUUUUUCUUAUCGAGGUGGAGGAGUUCUCUGCAGUCUGAAUACGAAUCAUUUUUCAGUUAUGUGCAUUGAAAAUAUCUCCUCCCAGUGUGUAGUUCUUUACACUUUUUAAAAUGGUAUCUUUUAACGAACUAAUAUGGGUUUUAAUGUGUCAAAUAUGUUGAUCAUUUUCUUUAUGGUUUGUGUUUCUUUUGUCUUAAGGAGUCCACUUCUACCCUGAGCUUAUACAAUUUUUUCUGUAUUAUAUUUAUUUUAUAGGGUUUUUGUUUUGUUUUGUUUUGUUUUUUGUUUUUGAGAUGGAGUCUUGCUCUGUCGCCCAGGCUAGAGUGCAAUGGCACCAUCUCAGCUCACUGCAACCUCCGCCUCCCGGGUUCCAGCAAUUCUCCUGCCUCGGCCUCCCGAAUAGCUGGGACUACAGGCACUCACCACCACGCCUGGCUAAUGUUUGUAUUUUUAGUAGAGACAGGGUGUCACCACGUUGGUCAGGCUGGUCUCAAACUCCUGAUUUCAAGUGAUCUGCCCACCUUGGCCUCCCAAAGUGCUGAGAUUACAGGCAUGAGCCACCACGCCCGACCUAUAGUUUUACUUCUCAUAUUUAGGUCUUUAAAUCCACUUGACUUAUUUUGUGUAUGAUGUGAGUUGAGUUCUGAUUUUUACUAUGUGGAUAAUGAAAUAUCCCUGCACCAUUGAUUAGCCCAUCCUCUCCCAGCUGAACUGUGUCAUGUUCAUCGUUUAUUAAGUCUCCACAUGCAUGAGUCUGUUGGAGAGGAGAACUCUCUCCUAUGAUCCAUUGGCCUAUAAGUCUAUCUCAGUACUGAUGUCAUACUGUCUUCAUUGCUACUGCAACUAAUAAUACAUUUUAUAAUAAAUUUUAAUAUUGUCCGCAAUAAGUCUUAGUAUUGUUGAGGAAGUCUCUUUGCUUUAUUCCUCUAGAAAAGCAUCAUAACAGCUGGGCACAGUGGCCUACACCUGUCAUCCCAGCACUCUGGGAGGCCGAUCACUCGGGCAACAUGGCAAAACCCCAUCUCUACUAAAAAUAGAAAAAAGUAGCCAGGUGUGGUGGCUUGCAUCUGUAGUCCCAGCUACUGGGGAGGCUGAGGUGGGAGGAUCACCUGAGCCUGGGAAGUCAUUGAGGCCGCAGUGAGCGAUGAUCAUGCCACGGCACUCCAGCCUGGGUAAUGAGAAUGAGACCCUAUCUAAAAGAAAGAAAGAAAGAGAGAAAGGGAGAGAGAAAGGGGGGGGGGGAGAGAGAGAGAGAUGAAAAAAGAAAGAGAGAAAGAGAGAAAGAAAGAAAGAAAGAAAGAAAGAAAGAAAGAAAGAAAGAAAGAGAAAGAAAGAAAGAGAGAAAGGAAGGAAGGAAGGAAGGAAGGGAAGGAAAGGAAAGGAAAGGAAAGGAAAGGAAAGGAAAGGAAAGGAAAGGAAAGAAAGGAAAGAAAGAAAAGAAAAGAGAAAAAGAGAGGGAGGGAGAGAGAGAGAGAGAAAAAAAAAGCAUCAAAGCUUCUCUUGGUCCUUUGCCCUCUUGUUUGAUAUUUUUAUUGGGUUGUUACAGUCUAUAGAUACAUACAUUUUUGUAUCUUGAGCCUGUAGCCAGAAAUCUUGUUGAGCUCUAUUAUGAGGUCUCCUAGUUUGUCCCUGGCUGGUCUGAGUGCAGUGAUGUUUACAACUAAUUGGUCACAUUCAGUUACAGAUUUAUUUGUUCCUUCUCCAUUCCCACUGCUUCACUUGACUAGCCUUCAAAAAAAUUGACCAUGAUUCUCUUUGAUUUUUCUCUGUAGACAAUUAUUAUUCACAAAUCAGGACAUUUUGUUCUCUUCUUUUACAGUUUUUGCACCCCUUCUUUGCUUUUCUUGCUCUAUUACAUUGGGUAAGAUAUCCAAUAUAUUUUUGAACGGAAACAGUGAUAGCAUGUUUAUCUAGUUGCUGACUUAAAUGGAGCUGCUUUUAAAGUUUUACCAUUAAGUAUAAUGUUUAUGUAAGACUUUUGUGAAUAUCUUUUUAUUAGUUAAGGAAGUUAGCUUCUAGUCUCAGUUUAUUAAAAUUUUAAUCAUGAAUGAAUGUUGAAAUCCAAAUUUUUCUUUUCCUUUUUUGUGAAGGUGGUACAUUGCAUUAAUAGAUUUUUCUAAUGCUAAACUAUCCUUCCAUUUUUGGGUUAAACCCUUCUUGGUCGUAAUGAAUUACUUGUAAUAUAGCACCAUUGAAUUAGAGUUGUGGAAUUUUCUACAGGAUUUUUGCACCUAUAUAUUCAUAAGUUAUAUUGGUUAUUUUAAUUUGCUACUGCUGCAUAACAAAGUAGCCCCCAAUUGUGCUGAUUAAAAUACGUAAAUUUAGUAUUUCAGAGUUUCUGUGGGUUGGGAAUUCAGGGGCAGCUCAUCUGGGUGGUACUGGCACAGUGUCUCUCAGGAAGUUGCCAUCAAGAUGUCAGCUGGGGAUGCAGUCAUCUGAAGGCCCAACUAGGGCUGGGAUUCACUUCCAAGAUCCUCAGAUGGCUGCUGGCAGAAGCUCUCAGCUCCUCACCUCAUGGACCUCCCAUAGGGCUGCCAACCAUCCUCUUACACUGCAGCUAGCUUUUCCCAGGGUGACCCAAGAGAGAAGGCAGAAGCCACGAGGCUGUCAUGGCCUAGUCUAGACAUCACAUAUCAUCACUUCUGCCACAUUCUAUUUGCUAGAAGCAAAUCACUAAACCAGCCCACCCUCAACAGCAGGGAAAUUGUCAAAGGGAAGUAUAUCGAAGAAUGUGUACAUAUUUAAAACCCCCACAUGGCCUAUCAUUUUCUUUUCCUAAAUUGUCUCCAGUUUUAGUAUCAUAUCAUACUAAACUCAUAAGGUGAGUUGGCUGGCUUCUCUCCCUGGCUAUGAGAGGGAUUAAUUAAUUGCCCGCAAAAUAAUCUGGUCUUUUUCAAUGAGAGGGUAACUAUGGGAGGGAGAUUACUGAUUUACUUUAUUUCAUGUUAAAUGUUUGCUCAGGCUACCAGUUUAGGAGAUCAAUAUUUUUAGAACAUAUUCCAGAUUCUGAAAACUUGAUUCUCAUUCGCUUAAACUUUACACAUCUCCAUCUGCUUGGCACUGGCUUAGAGUGCUGCGAAAUUCCCACAUUCCGGCAAAACACGGUGAAAACAGAGAAGUGACCUCAGUCAUUUUAAAAAGUCAGCAUGAAGAGUGGGGAAACUAAAAGCUUUAAAAGGUUAAACAACAGAUGCUUAAUUAAUUUUUUAAAAAUUCAAGGGUAAACUCCCACUCAUUCCGGUAAACUUAGAGAAUAGUGUUGAAUGGAACUCAAACUUUUUUAUCUCGGGACCCUUUUACAGUAAAAAAUAUUAAGGAUCCCAUAGAGCUGUUUCUUUCUUUCUCUCUGUGUGUGUGUGUGUGUGUCGUGUGUGUGUGUGUGUUUCUCUCUCUCAUAGAGCUCUUUCUCUCUUUCUUUCUCUCUCUCUCAUAGAGCUCUUUCUCUCUCUCUCUUUCUUUCUUUCUUUCUCUCUCUCUGUCCCUCUUUUUGUCUCUCUCUCUCUCUCUGUCUCUCUCUCUUUGUCUCUUUCUCUCUCUCUCUCUCUCUCUGAUUCUUGCUCUGUCACCCAGGUAGGGGCACAUUGUUACAAUCAUGGCUUGCUACAGUCUAGAACUUCUGAGCUCAAGCAAUCCUCCCACCUCAGCCUCGAAGUAGCUGGGACUACAGGUUUGUGCCACUGUACCCAGCUAAUUUUUUUAAUUUAGUUUUUGUAGAGACAGGAUCUCACUAUGUUGCCCAGGCUGGUCUUGAACUCGUGGGCUCAAGCGAUCCUCCUGAUUCAGCUUCCCCGAGUACUAAGAUUACAAGCAUGAGCCACUCCACUCAGUCCCAUAGAGCUUUUUCUUAAAUGUGACUUAUAUCUAGCAAUAUUUACUAUAUCAGAAAUUAAAACUGAGAGUUUCUAAAACUAUGUAUAUAUUAAUUCAUUUGAACAUAGCAUAAUAAACCAAUUUCACAUUAAUACAGACAACAUAUUUUUCUGAAAAAUAACUAUAUUUUCCAAAAACAAAUCAGUGCAAAGAGGGUCACUACUUUCCAUUUUUGCAAAUCUGUUUAACAUCUGGCUUAAGAAAAAAACAGAUACGUUCCCAUAUUGCCAUCUACAUCAAUGUGGUGGAAUAGGUUGUGUCAGUUGAGGUAUGUGAAGAUCUGGCUUCGCUUGGAUAUGUAGUUGGAAAAAGGAGGAGUAUUUUAAUAGCCUUUUCAUUUAAUUGUGAAAUUCUUUUUGUAUACUACAUAAAAACUCAACAAGUAAUUUCUUAAAGGCUGGUUACAGAGUGGAAUCACAAAGAAUAUUAAUGAGCUUUUCAUAUCCUUUACACUUGCAAGAGAGGGAAAGUGAAAAAGUCCAAUAACAUUGCUGUAUUAUGAAGAAUUUUGACCCUAGAACCCCUUGAAAGGGUCUUUGGGGAGCUCCCUGGGUCCCCAGGCUACACUUUGAAACUGGAAGUUUAGGCACUCAAAUAUACCUUGACGUUAAGCUAUUUUUAAAAAUCACAGAACCAGAGUAUGAUAGACUGGACAAGAACUCAGUGAGUGGUGGGGCCCAUGUCCUCAUUUUGAGAAUAAAAUGGCAGCCCAGGGAGACAACACAAUUUGUCCAGGAUCUUUCCAGAGCAGAGUUCAUGCAUGCCCUGUUCUUUCCACUACUGUGUAUAAAAAGGAGCAAGAUAAAGGGAAAAAAGGAGGAAAAAGAUAAUAUAAAAGCAGCACAGGCCAGGUGCAGUUGUUCAUGUCGGUAAUCCCAGCACUUUCAGAGGCCAAGGAGGGAAGAUCACUUGAGGUCAGGAGUUCAAGACCAGCCUGGGCAACAUGGCGAAACCCUGUCUCUACUAAAAAUACAAAAAUUAGCUGGGUGUGAUGGCACCUGUAAUCCCAGCUAUUCGGGAAACAGGAGAAUUGCUCGAGCCUGGGAGUUAGAGGCUGCAGUGAACCAUGAUGGUUUGAGCCUGGAAGUUCAAGGCUACAGUGAGCUAUGAUGGUGCCACUGCACUCCAGCCUUGGCAACAGAGCUAGACUCUGUCUCAAAAGAAAAAAGCAACACAAUGUUGUAAGAGCAGAUUGUGACAGGCUCCACUCUCGAUGGUUUUCCAUGACGAUUGUCCAGUUUAUAGAUGUCUUGUCCUCAGAAAUCCCUGGUUAUGCCUGCAUUGGAUCAUGCUGUUGCUGCUAACAGUUUUACCAUCCACAGAUGUGAGAAAAAUAGGGGAAAAAGUAAAUCCAUAAAAUUAUACUUCUUAUCCUUAUAAGAGGAGGGAUGGAAGAAUUAGAUACUUUACAAUAAUGCUAAUAAUUAACAUUUAUUAAAAUUUAUUAAGCACUUACUAUGUUCUCAUUCAUUCAUUUGUUCAUCAUUCAUUUAUUCACUCAUCCAUCUUUCUCGUAAUAUUUACCAAGCACCUAU